AAGAAAUGUAUCCAAUAAAAAAUAUGUGCAACUAAAACAUUAGCCUGGAGGUGGAGAAAUAGCGGAGCACCUGAAAACUAUGAUUGCAGAGGUGUGUGUUCCAGUAGAGAUGCCAGUGACUUUCAGAAUGGAUGUGCAGCUAACACCUGGACAAAGAGAAAAGGCAGAGCACCUAAAGGCUCUGAGUUACCGAGGUGUGUGUUCGAGUGUCUGAUGCCAAUGACUGACCUCAGAAUAUAUGUGCACCUAAAAGAUGAGAAUUGGAAGAGGACCUAAAAGUUAUUUGUUGCUGAGGUGUACAUUGGAGUAGCUAAUGGCAAAAACCUACUCUAGAAUCUACCUGCUACUAAGCAUUAACCGAGGGUAUAGAGAAAUGGCGGAGCACCUAAAAGCUAUGAGUUAAGACGUGUUUGUUCCAGUAGCUGAUAUCAAUGACUGACUUCAGACUAUACAUACAACGAAAACAUAAGCCCUGGAGACAGAGAAAUGUCACACCACCUGAAACGUAUGAAUUACAGAGGUGUGCGAUCGAAUAGCUGGUUCCCAUGACUGAUUGCAGAUUAUACAUUCAAAUAAAACCUGAGACUGGAGAAAGAGAAAUGGCGGAGCACCUUAAACCUUGGAAUGGGAGAAGUGUGUGUUGGGGUAGAUGAUGCCAAGGACUGAAUUCAGAAUAUACUUGCAAACUGAACAUAACCCUGGAGAUAGAGAAAAGGCGGAGCACCUGAAAGCUAUGAGUGGCAGAGGAAUGCGUUCGAGUAGCUGAUGCCAAUGACUGACUUAAGGAUAUGUGUGCAACUAAAGUAUUAGCCUGGAGAGAGAGAAAUGGCGGAGCGCCUAAAGGCUAUGAGUUGCAGACGUGUGCGUUGGAGUAGCUGGUGCCAGUGACGGACUUCAGAAUAUACACGCAACUAAACAGAAGCCUGGAGAUGGAGAAAUCAUGGAGCGCCUUAAAGGAAAAAGAAGAACAGGAAGAAGAGGAGGAGGAUAAAGGAGGAAGGAGGAAGAAGAAGAUCCAUUCUACAUUAUCUUCAAAAAAUACAACAUUGAUAGGUUGAUCUUACCAAAACUCUUAAGGUCUACUUUGAAAUCUAUAAAAGUUAAGUGAAACAUUAUGUACCUAGACAAACAAAUUCAAAGACGUCCAAAGUCUAUCUACAUAACCACACUGAUGUCAAAUUGGAAAAUUUAGUUUAAAAUAACCAAAAACAUAUAAAUGUUCUUAUGGAACUACAAAAUUCCAGGCCGUGAAAGCAGCUGAAAAGGACAACUACCCUCUCCCAUUCCAGCCUGAGCAAAGCAGGCUCGUGGACCAGUGACACCCAGAAAUUAAGAGGUUUUUGGAACCCAGGAGAUCUUGGAAGGCUGCUCUGCAGCUGUCAUCACCACAAGAUGAAUAUAUUGAAUUGCACUGCAAAUGAUAUGGAUAUCGUUUGGACCACCCUGAGUAAAGGAGAAAGAAAGAAGGUUGGGAGGCCCAUGAACGUUCAACAAAGGCCAAAAAAGAAAAAAAAAAAAAGAUUGGCCUGAGGCUAAGCUCUACCAUAAAUUGGCCAUGCAAAGAAAAUACAAAUAAAAAGACUAUUAAGAUGCAUAAAAAGAAAAACACCAAGCAGAAGGAUGAGGAGAAGACUCCACAGGAGCCGUGCCUGCCUACCUGCUGGACAGAGAGGGGCAGUCAAGAGCAAAAGUACUUUCCAACACGAUUAAGCAGAAAAGGAAAGGUGGGAAAACGCGAGUUCCCUCUACCCAAAGUUCGUGCCCAAGGAGAAGCAGAUGUAUUCAAAGUUAUUCGAACAGGAAAAAGAAAAAUCAUGGAAGAGAAUGGUUACAAAAAGUCUUUGUUGGUGAUGGUUUUACAAGAAAACCACCUAAAUAUGAAAGGUUCAUUAGGCCACUGGGUCUAUGUUUCAGAAAAGCCCAUGUCACACACCCUGAGCUGAAAGCUACCUUUUGCCUGCCUAUACUUGAUGUGAAAAAGGAUCCACCAUCCCCAUUAUAGACAACCCUGGGUAUGAUCACCAGAGUAUGAUCACCUGAGGUACAGUUAUUGAAGUGAUUGUGAGCAAGCUGGGCCUUGUGACACAAGGAGGCAAGAUGAUUUGGGGAAAGUGUGCCCAAGUUACCAACUAUCCCAAAAAUGAUGGGUGCAUAAAUGCAGUCUUGCCGGUUUGGCAGUGACCUCAUACAAGUCAUCCCACUCACUACCGAAGACUACACACUGUCAGGAAAACACCAUCGCUGUGAUCUUUCUGAACUACCAAUCAGCCUUACCCCAUGUGCAGUCAUCAAGAAGAAUUUAUUAAAUUGUAAAGGAAAAUAAAACACUGUCCAAUUAAAAAAAAAAGAAAGCAGUUGUAAGAAAAAUAAAGCUGGAAAUACACAUUCACUGACUUCCCAAAAUACAGCAUUGGAUUAAUCAAAACAUUUUGACAGUUCUGUAAAAACAAGCACGGAACACAGACAGCAUUCACACAGAUAUCUACACACACACACACACACACACACACACACACACACACACACACACACACACACAUACACACACAGCUGCUACUGCUUCCUAAACGUGUACAGGAAGUGCAAGAGGAAAGGAGAGUGUCUUUCAUGAUGCACGUUUGGAUAUCUAGCAGCGGAACGAAAUGGGCUCUCACAGUUCACACCAAAGUCAAAUAAAAAAUUAUUGUAGUCUACCGUGAGCCCUUUUUUAUGGUAUACCUACUUUUAAUCUUUUGAGGGUUUGUCAGUCCGGUUUCCAGAGUGGAUGGAUUCCUUUAAAAUUUCCCCCAAAAUCCACCACUGCUUCCUUUCUAUCAUACUGUCAGUUGUUUGAUUGGUCUCUGCCAGCCAACUGACUGCAAUUACCACAAUUCUCAGCAACAGAUCAAAACCACAAUCUAUAAAAACAGCAUCAACUCACAGAAAAAACCUCCAUAAUUCUGAUAAUAGCCAAUAUAACAAACUUCCUUAAUCCAGAUAAUAAAUGCCCCCAAACAACAGAGUUUAUGUGCCUCAUAUUUCCAGUUCUACCAAACGGCUUGUCCAUGAGGAUUAGGCAAGCUGCCCCAGUAACGUUCUCACUCAGUAGCCUGCUUCAGUGCUGCUGCAGAACUCCCUUGAGUCAGCCUGACUCACAGAGAGUGAGCUUGAAACAACAGAGAGCACAGGCAUUUUCCAUCUCGUGGGAGUCAAAGACAGGGCUGGUGGAAAGGGAAGGCCAGGCAGCUCAGGCAUGCUGAGGAGAGGAGGAAGACUUAGGAUGGUGGUGUAUUCUCCACUAGGUUUUCAGGAGAUCUAGGGAAUGGGAAAAGUUGGGGCUGAGGUAUGCUGUUGCCAGGACCCCAGCAGAUGUGGGAGGACAAGACUAAGAUACUCAGAGAGGAGGAGG
rnacentral:lncRNA from 1 species